rnacentral:rRNA from 1 species
GACGAACGCUGGCGGCGUGCUUAACACAUGCAAGUCGAACGGAAAGGCCCUGCUUUUGUUGGUUUCUCGUUUGGCGAACGGGUGAGUAACACGCGAGUAUCCUGCCCUUGACUUUGUGAUAACUUCACGGAACUGGGGCUAAUACCGGAUAGGAGCUCCUGCUGCAUGGGGUGGGUUGGAAAGUUUCGGCGGUUGGGUGUGGGCUCGCUGGGUAUCCGCUUGUUGGGGGGGUAGUGGCUUACCAAGCUUUUGACGGGUAGCCGGCCUGAGAGGCUGACAGGCCACAUUGGGACUGAGAGAAGGCACAGACUCGUACGGGACGCAGCAGUGGGGAAUAUUGCAGAAUGGGCGGAAGCCUGAUGAAGCAACGCCGCGUGUGGGAUGACGGCGUUCGGGUUGUAAAACGAUUGCGCAUGUGACGAAGCGUGAGUGAAGGUAAUGGGUACAGAAGCACCGGCUAACUACGUG